GACGGGGGGGGCAAGUGUUCUUCGGAAUGACUGGGCGUAAAGGGCACGUAGGCGGUGAAUCGGGUUGAAAGUGGAAGUCGCCAAAAAGUGGCGGAAUGCUCUCGAAACCAAUUCACUUGAGUGAGACAGAGGAGAGUGGAAUUCCUGGUGUAGCGGUGAAAUGCGCAGAUAUCGGGAAGAACACCCGUGGCGAAGGCGGCACUCUGGGACGGUACUGACGCUGAGACGCGAAAGCGUGGGGAGCGAACAGG
rnacentral:rRNA from 1 species